rnacentral:rRNA from 1 species
GAUGAACGCUGGCGGCGUGCCUAAUACAUGCAAGUCGAGCGAACGGACGAGAAGCUUGCUUUUCUGAUGUUAGCGGCGGACGGGUGAGUAACACGUGGAUAACCUACCUAUAAGACUGGGAUAACUUCGGGAAACCGGAGCUAAUACCGGAUAAUAUUUUGAACCGCAUGGUUCAAAAGUGAAAGACGGUCUUGCUGUCACUUAUAGAUGGAUCCGCGCUGCAUUAGCUAGUUGGUAAGGUAACGGCUUACCAAGGCAACGAUGCAUAGCCGACCUGAGAGGGUGAUCGGCCACACUGGAACUGAGACACGGUCCAGACUCCUACGGGAGGCAGCAGUAGGGAAUCUUCCGCAAUGGGCGAAAGCCUGACGGAGCAACGCCGCGUGAGUGAUGAAGGUCUUCGGAUCGUAAAACUCUGUUAUUAGGGAAGAACAUAUGUGUAAGUAACUGUGCACAUCUUGACGGUACCUAAUCAGAAAGCCACGGCUAACUACGUGCCAGCAGCCGCGGUAAUACGUAGGUGGCAAGCGUUAUCCGGAAUUAUUGGGCGUAAAGCGCGCGUAGGCGGUUUUUUAAGUCUGAUGUGAAAGCCCACGGCUCAACCGUGGAGGGUCAUUGGAAACUGGAAAACUUGAGUGCAGAAGAGGAAAGUGGAAUUCCAUGUGUAGCGGUGAAAUGCGCAGAGAUAUGGAGGAACACCAGUGGCGAAGGCGACUUUCUGGUCUGUAACUGACGCUGAUGUGCGAAAGCGUGGGGAUCAAACAGGAUUAGAUACCCUGGUAGUCCACGCCGUAAACGAUGAGUGCUAAGUGUUAGGGGGUUUCCGCCCCUUAGUGCUGCAGCUAACGCAUUAAGCACCCCGCCUGGGGAGUACGACCGCAAGGUUGAAACUCAAAGGAAUUGACGGGGACCCGCACAAGCGGUGGAGCAUGUGGUUUAAUUCGAAGCAACGCGAAGAACCUUACCAAAUCUUGACAUCCUUUGACAACUCUAGAGAUAGAGCCUUCCCCUUCGGGGGACAAAGUGACAGGUGGUGCAUGGUUGUCGUCAGCUCGUGUCGUGAGAUGUUGGGUUAAGUCCCGCAACGAGCGCAACCCUUAAGCUUAGUUGCCAUCAUUAAGUUGGGCACUCUAAGUUGACUGCCGGUGACAAACCGGAGGAAGGUGGGGAUGACGUCAAAUCAUCAUGCCCCUUAUGAUUUGGGCUACACACGUGCUACAAUGGACAAUACAAAGGGCAGCGAAACCGCGAGGUCAAGCAAAUCCCAUAAAGUUGUUCUCAGUUCGGAUUGUAGUCUGCAACUCGACUACAUGAAGCUGGAAUCGCUAGUAAUCGUAGAUCAGCAUGCUACGGUGAAUACGUUCCCGGGUCU